rnacentral:rRNA from 1 species
AGGCGUUCGGGUGAACUGUGGUUAAGGAAUUCGGCAAAAUGCCCCCGUAACUUCGGGAGAAGGGGGGCCCUACGAUGUGAGCACUCUUGCGGUGUUAAGCGUUGUGGGGUCGCAGAGAAUAGAGGGAAGCGACUGUUUAUCAAAAACACAGGUCCGUGCGAAGUCGUAAGACGAUGUAUACGGACUGACUCCUGCCCGGUGCUGGAAGGUUAAGGGGAGAUGUGCAAGCAUCGAACCGAAGCCCCAGUAAACGGCGGCCGUAACUAUAACGGUCCUAAGGUAGCGAAAUUCCUUGUCGGGUAAGUUCCGACCUGCACGAAUGGCGUAACGACCUCCCCACUGUCUCCAGCAUGGGCUCAGCGAAAUUGAAUUCCCCGUGAAGAUGCGGGGUACCCGCGGUCAGACGGAAAGACCCUAUGAACCUUUACUGCAACUUCGCAGUGGCGCCAGGAAGGGACUGUGUAGGAUAGGUGGGAGGCUUUGAAGCCGGGGCGCUAGCUUUGGUGGAGCCAACCUUGAAAUACCACCCUGUGCCUUUCUGGCGUCUAACUGAGCCCCGUUAUCCGGGGCCAGGACCCUGCGUGGUGGGCAGUUUGACUGGGGCGGUCGCCUCCCAAAUGGUAACGGAGGCGCGCGAUGGUGGGCUCAAGCCGGUCGGACAUCGGCUGUUGAGUGCAAAGGCACAAGCCCGCCUGACUGUGAGCGCGACAGCGCGAACAGAGACGAAAGUCGGCCUUAGUGAUCCGGUGGUCCCGCGUGGAAGGGCCAUCGCUCAACGGAUAAAAGGUACUCUAGGGAUAACAGGCUGAUCUCCCCCAAGAGUCCACAUCGACGGGGAGGUUUGGCACCUCGAUGUCGGCUCAUCGCAUCCCGGGGCUGGAGCAGGUCCCAAGGGUUCGGCUGUUCGCCGAUUAAAGCGGUACGUGAGCUGGGUUUAGAACGUCGUGAGACAGUUCGGUCCCUAUCUGCCGUGGGUGUAGGAGACUUGCGAGGAUCUGUCCCUAGUACGAGAGGACCGGGAUGGACGUACCUCUGGUGUACCAGUUGUUCCGCCAGGAGCAUCGCUGGGUAGCUAAGUGCGGACGGGAUAACUGCUGAAGGCAUCUAAGCAGGAAACCCCCCUCUAAACGAGGUCUCCCUCGAGGGCCGUGAUAGACCAUCACGUCGAUAGGCCGCAGGUGGAAGUCGGGUAACCGACGCAGCCGAGCGGUCCUAAUCGCCCGAUAGAGCUCAUAUC